CUCUUCCAGAAAGUGGAUGGUAAGCAUUGAGGGAAAGGUGGCCUAUGUUUUGGAUGAGCACUUGGGAUUUGCAGAUGCCUUAUCUGUUUUCUUCAGCUUCUUCUACGUUUUCAACAUUGAAUACCAGGAGACUGCCUGUGCAACACUGGAAAUCAUACAACAGUUUUUCGUGAGGAUAAACCCAGAGGAGGGAACAAAAUGCACCACCAAAACUGGAGUGAGUCGGAAGACAGGGGAAGUUGUGAAGAGGAAGACAACAGUAAUCAACAACAGAGUGUCAUCCUUCCUUCGCCACCUAAUGGAGUUUGAGUGGAAAAACUCGGACUAGAGGGACUUCUGACAGAUUCCUUGCCAUAAUGGAGCAUAUUCCUGGUUGUUUCAAGUCAUCAAAUGUGCCAGGUUUAUUGACUUCCAAAGAAGAUGAGAAACAUGAGAACUU